GCACCCUUUUAGCUCAAUGGUUGAGCGUUGGCUUUGAGAGCUACAGGUUGGUGGCUCGAGCCUCCAGGGCACA
rnacentral:tRNA from 1 species